GGGGCGGGGGCCCUGCAGGUGGGGGGCGUGCUGGCGGGGCUGAGCUCACCCGCCCCCCGCACCUCCCCCAGAGUUUCAGGACCUCGACCAGCUGUUCGCAGGGCCCUGCGGCUUCCACAAAAUCCAGCUGCGCACGUGGUGGGUGGAAAGGACUUGGAGCCGGGGCAAUGGCCCUGGCAGGGCAGCCAGCUCCGGGGGAGGCACCAGCACUGCGGGGCAAGCCUGCUCAGCUGCCGGGUGCUCAAGGCCAUGCACUGCUUCCUCAAGCACAGUGAUCCCUUAAAAUGGACGGCCCAUAUUGGUGAGCUGUCUUCUAGGCCACAUUACUGGAAACUGUGGACCUUCUACCAUCGUUACAGGGUGAAGGAUAUUAUCAUAUACCCCCAAUUUGAGGGGACUUCACUCAACGACAUCGCCCUGCUGAAGCUGUCCUCUUCUGUCACCUACAAUAAGUAUAUCCAGCCCAUCUGUGUUAUGAUCUCCUCCUCCAAGUUCCAGAACCAGACCAACUGCUGGGUGACUGGCUGGGGGGACAUCCAGGAAAAUCAGGGAGUACAACUGCUGAAUCAUGUGGUAAUUCCAUAUUUAACUUUUUGAGGAACCAAGAAGCAGCAUUCCACAAUAGCUGCACCAUUUUACAUUGCCAUCAACAAUGAAUGAGGCUCUACCGCCUCCUUAGAAUCUCCAGGAAGUGCAGGUCUCUAUCAUAAACAACUCCAGGUGUGACUACCUGUUCCAACAGCCCAGCAUCCUCAGUUACAACCUCAAUGACAUGAUUUGUGCUGGCUCCGAGGAUGGUAGCCGUGAUGCCUGUAGAGUGACUCAGGCGGACCCUUGGCCUGUGAGAAGAGAGGGCUGUGGAUUCAGGUUGGAAUCGUGAGCUGGGGAUCCGGCUGUGGUAGGCCCAACCGGCCUGGCGUCUACACCAACAUCAGUGCAUAUUUCAACUGGAUCAGGACGCUCAUGGCCCACAGCAGCAUUCAGAGUCACAGAGAGAGAGAGAGAGAGAGAGGCAGAGACACAGGCAGAGGGAGAAGCAGGCUCCAUG